AAGACUAUACUUCCAGGGCUCGUUUCUGUAGUUCACUACUAGAGAAGUUUCUCUGACUGGGUGGAGUUCUGGAAGCCAUGAGGAGGAGGUAUAGCUUUCUCUCCUGAGCAUGAGGCUGGUCUUGGGGUUGCUUUGCUGUAGCUGCCACCUGCCAUUGAUGAUUGGUCCUGCUCUCUUCUGGAGGAUCUGGAGGGAGAGGGCACAGCCUGAAUGAC
ensembl:snoRNA U3 Small nucleolar RNA U3